rnacentral:rRNA from 1 species
CCUACGGGAGGCAGCAGUGGGGAAUAUUGGGCAAUGGGCGCAAGCCUGACCCAGCAACGCCGCAUGAAGGAAGAAGGCUUUCGGGUUGUAAACUUCUUUUCUCAGGGACGAAGAAAGUGACGGUACCUGCGGAAUAAGCCACGGCUAACUACGUGCCAGCAGCCGCGGUAAUACGUAGGUGGCAAGCGUUAUCCGGAUUUCUUGGGUGUAAAGGGCGUGUAGGCGGGAGGGCAAGUCAGAUGUGAAACCUCAGGGCUAAACCCUGAGCCUGCAUUUGAAACUGUGUUUCUUGAGUGCUGGAGAGGCAAGCGGAAUUCCGUGUGUAGCGGUGAAAUGCGUAGAUAUACGGAGGAACACCAGUGGCGAAGGCGGAUUGCUGGACAGUAACUGACGCUGAGGCGCGAAAGCGUGGGGAGCAAACAGGAUUAGAUACCCCUGUAGUC